ACGGGGUGCAGCAGGCGCGAAAACUUUACACUACACGAAAGUGUGAUAAGGGAAUUCCAAGUGUGCUUAUACCAUAAGCACUUUUUUGGAGCGCAAAAAGCUCCGGGAAUAAGGGGUGGGCAAGACUAGUGCCAGCCGCCGCGGUAAAACUAGCAUCUCGAGUGGCAGUCACAAUUAUUGGGCUUAGAGCGUCCGUAGCUCGUUCGGAAAGUCUCUGGUGAAAUCCUACGGCUUAACCGUAGGGCGCGCCGGAGAAACUACCGGGCUAGGGAGCAGGAGAGGUCGGGGGCACGUCUGGGGUAGGGGUGAAAUCCUAUAAUCCUAGACGGACCAACAGUGGCGAAGGCGCCCGACAUGAAUGCGUCUGACAGUGAGGGACGAGAGCCAGGAGCGCGAAACGGAUUAGAUACCCGUGUAGUCUUGGCCGUAAACGAUGCUGACUAGGUGGGGUGCGACCUUAGAGGUCGUGCUAUGCCGAAGGGAAACCGUUAAGUCAGCCGCCUGGGGAGUACGACCGCAAGGUUGAAACUUAAAGGAAUUGGCGGGGGAGCAC
rnacentral:rRNA from 1 species